AUUUCCCUAGUGGGCACUGUAUGUAUUUGUGGGAAAUUACACAUUUUAUGUUUUGCCAGAGUGGCCUAGUAAGGUACAGUUAUAGAAAUCCAAAACUAGAGAAAAUGGUAAUUAAACUCUGUACACUACCUUUUCUGGGUAUGUGUCUUAGUGAUUUCUGUUUUCUGGAUAUUUUGUUCUGACUAAAUAAAGGUAAAUGAGAUGAACCUUUGGACAUAGCAUCCCGAAUGCCUUCUGCAUGAGUUUUGAUAUUUUUAUGUCUGGUUGAACUUUAUUUUUCAGAAUCUGAAUGGUGACAAAAAAGACAAUUAAAGAUCAUGAUGCCUUAAUUUGGAGUAUUACUAGGGGUUCUCUAGAGUCACAGAACUAUGGAAUGACUCAGUAGUUGAUCAGUCCUGCGAGGCUGGAUGGCUCAUCUGGUAUCUAUAUAUACUGGAAUCCCAAAUAAGUAGGCUUUGAUGCCAGUGAAAGAAUGGACGUGUUAGCAAGGUGAAGGACAAGCAGGCUAGGAGCAAACGCUUCCUUCUGUGUUCUUGUCUAGACUUCCAGCAGAAGCUAUGGUCCAUUUUAAAGGUGUUUUUCUGCCUUCAAGUUUGGAAUAAAAGUAUGUGUCUUCCCACCUCAAGAUCUGGAUGAAAGUCAUGUGUCUUUGUGUCUCAAAGGCCUGCCCUGGAAGAGGAUUCACCUGCCUCAAGCCAGUCAGAACCUCUCUCAGCUGUGCCCUCUCUUUCUGGAUUGUAGUUCAUUCCAGAUAUGGUCAAGUUGACAACCAGGAAUAGCAGUCACAGUCAGCUUCCAAUUUUUAUCCUUUUUAGUGAACUUGAACUGAUUGCCCUUUAGUUUUUUACUACUUUAAAUCUUAUUUCUUACCUUUUAAGGAUCUGACAGUUUUCCCAACUUGAGACAUUGGUUACAUCAAAUAUUAUUGUUGUUGUUUUUUCAAGACAGGGUUUCUCUGUGUAGCCCUGGCUGUCCUGGAACUCACUUUGUAGACCAGGCUCUGCCUGUCUCUGCCUCCCAAGUGCUGGGAUUAAAGGCGUGCGCCUCCAUGCCCGGCUACAUCAAAUAUUGUAUAGCACUGAAUUGUUAAAUUUUAUUGUGAAGUUGCUUAAAUAUAAUGCAAACAUAAAACAACCUAGCUGCCUUAAACAAGGUGCUUAUCUAGUUAUAAAACAAAAACAAAAUUAGGAGUUAAAUAGCAACAAACUAAAAAGGGUGGAUACCUAUUUAAUAUUUAAAAUUUAUUUUAGAGUAUAAUAUAACAUCAUUUCCCUCUUUCCUUCCCUUAUAUUCUUGUUCCCAUGUACUCUCCCCCUUAUUCUCUUUUAGAUUCAUGGACUCUCUGUAAUUGUCACAUAUAUGUAUGUGUGGAGGUGAGUGGAUGUGUACUUUUAUAUACAUAAAUAUAAUCUGCUCAGUCUGUACAAUGUUACAUUCCACCACCUAAGGCUCAGUGAUAACCAGUUGAUUUGCUUUUCUCUAGGGAAGACUAUCUCACUCAGCAUUCCUUAGUUGCCUGUAUGUUUUUGUGUAAGGUUAAGAGGCCUGAAGGACUUUACUUUGUCCAUAUUGGUGGGUCUGUUGGUGUUGUCAUUGUUCUGGUCAUUUUUAGGCAGCCACGUUGGUGAGAUUUUGUGUGUAUAGCUCUGACAUUUCUAGAAGACAAAGUUGUUGUCAAGCCAACUCCCUGAUCCUCUGGUUCUAGAGCCUUCCCACCCACUCUUGAAAUACUGAGCCUUGGGUGGUGGAAUGUUUUGUAGAAGUAUCCAUCAGGACUAGAUACCACAGCCGGGCGUGGUGCCCCACGCCUUUAAUCCCAGCACUCGGGAGGCAGAGGCAGGCGGAUUUCUGAGUUCGAGGCCAGCCUGGUCUACAAAGUGAGUUCCAGGACAACCAGGGCUAUACAGAGAAACCCUGUCUUGAAAAAUCAAAAAAAAAAAAAGGACUAGAUACCACAACUCUGCAUUUUAAUUGAUUGUUGUUUCUGUAUUGGUCUCUAUCUGUUGGGAGGAGAAGUUUCUUUGAUGGGGGUGAGGAAUCUACCUGUAGGUACAAGGACAAAUAUUUAGAAUUUGAUUUAGUUAUGCAGAUUUAGUAAAAUGGCAAUUGUAGAUUUUCCUACAAGAUCUGACUUCACUAACCCCUGGGUAAGUUGGCUAGGGUUCCAGCCCAAUUAGAGAACUGUUGGCUGCCCCCAGGGUCUGUGUGCCACACACAUGUUCCGUGUAUGGUUGAGCAAAGGCAGGAACAGCUGAGAGUGCACAUCUUGAUCUGUCAGGAGGAGGCAGGAAGAGUGACGCACUGGGGAUGGGAAGAGGCUUUCGAAACCUCAAAACCUGCUCCUGGCAUCAUCUCUAACAACACCAUGCCUCCUAACCCUUCCCCAACAGUCCCACCAACUGGGACCAAGUGUUCAAGACCAUGAGCCUAUGGGGCCAUUGUCAUUGAACCAAGUGCAGGUAGGUCUUCUGGAGAAGCAGCAAAGUGCCCUGCACCACCAUUCUUCAGUCCCCAAAUCCCUUCUCUUUACAUUCUGCUUUGUUUCAGUUACAAAGUUCUGAGCAUUAUAGAAUUUAAUCAAAUGUCAUCUCAACAUCCUCUGCUUUUGGACUGAACGUGACUGGUCUGAUUAACUGACAUCUCAGUUGCUAAGAGCUUAGCUUAAACUUUAGCUCUAGAUGCAUUGUCUAGCCUGUGGCAUAUUACUGUAGUAAUUAGGUGAUGUCUUAGGGUUUUACUGCUGUGAGCAGACACCAUGACCAAGGCAACUCUUAUAAGGACAACAUUUCAUUGAGGCUGGCUCACAGAUUCAGAGGUUCAGUCCAUUAUCAAAACUGGAGAACAUGGCAGCAUCCAGGCAGGCAUGGUGCAGGAGGAGCUGAGAAUUCUACAUCUUCAUCUGAAGGCAGCUAGCAGAGCUUCCAGGAAGCUAGGAUGAGGGUCUUAAAGCCCAUGCCCACAGUGACACACCUACUCCAACAAAGCCACACCUUCUAAUAGUGCAACUCCCCGGGAUAAGCAUAUACAAACCAUCUCAGGUGAUAUAUGCGAAAUGUUCUAUGCCGGUUUUCUCCCAACAUUUUUCCAGGAGGAGAGACAUUUAUCUGUGGUUAUUGUUGAGUCCUUUGCUCAUCUAUGGUCUUAGGCUAACUGCCUGCACUGACUAACAGUCUGCAGCAGGAUAUUGAUCUCCAGGUAAUUUUAUGCUUUUAAAGUGAAACUGUACCUUUGUAAGUUAGUGUAAUUAUUAAUACUUUAUUAAUGUGAGCCUAUCAUGUACGUUAUUUUUUGUUCAUUUUUUUUGUUUGUUUUUUAGGAUUUUUGUGUUUUUGUUUUGUUGGGACUUGUUUGUUUGCUUGUUUUUGGAGAUGGUUUCUCUGAGUGACAGCCCAGAUGUUCCGGAACUCACUUUGUAGACCAGAGAUCUGCCUGUGUCUACCUCCAGAGUGCUGGAAUUAAGGGUGUGCAGCACUAUGUCCAGCCGGCAUGUGUUUCUUAUAUUUUACAAUCCUUAUUUUUUUCUCCAAAUCAAACUUUCAUAUCUUUUAGCUUCUCUUUGCUCACAGGAUUUUUAUUAGCCUAAAACUGCAUUUGUCAAUACUGGUUGGAUCAUAAAUGUU
rnacentral:lncRNA from 1 species